rnacentral:siRNA from 1 species
CGGAUUACGGUGGCGGCCUA